rnacentral:ncRNA from 1 species
UAUUAUCCGAGUUUUGUGGGCUAAGCUUACAGUAUGCCUUCAAAACCGAAGCCGAAAUCAUUCCAUCGGCUUAAGGGUAACGCGGGAAACUGCAUUGCCUUCCGUGCUUGAAAAGGAGUAAAUAUCA